CUUAGUGUUGACAAAAAUUGAAUGCGAAACAGUUGAGGGUUUUAUUAUCUCUCUAUUGUGAUCCUUCAAUCACAUUAUAUCCAUGUAGCUAAAUUCAAAAGUGAUAUAAAUCAUCAUAUUUAGUUUGUACUAAUGUUAGGAAUUAUAUAUUUGUAAGUUGUGAAGAAAAAAAAACAACAACACCAAAUGAAGACUAUUUAUUAACUCAGGCACUUUGACAAAGAGAAGUCUGGCCGACUUAAUCACCAGGAGUUCAAGAGCUGUUUGAGAGCUCUGGGGUACGACCUCCCCAUGAUGGAAGAGGGUGGUGUGGACCUGGAAUUUGAGACCAUCCUGGACGUUGUUGACCCCAACCGGGAUGGUUAUGUUUCUCUACAGGAAUACAUGGCCUUCAUGAUCUCGAGAGAAACGGAAAAUGUUCGUUCGAGUGAGGACAUAGAGAAUGCUUUCAGGGCUAUCACUUCAGGAGAACGCUUUUAUGUCACAGCUGAUGAACUGUAUGCUAAUCUACCCAAGGAAGUGGCAG